GAUGAAGAACGUAGCGAAAUGCGAUACUUGGUGUGAAUUGCAGAAUCCCGUGAACCAUCGAGUCUUUGAACGCAAGUUGCGCCUCAAGCCAUUAGGUUGAGGGAACGUCUGCCUGGGCGUCACAUAUCGUUGCCUGAUGCCAGUUUCCUCGUGAUGGGUGACUGUGCAGGGCGAAUGAUGGCUUCCCGUGAGCAUUGUUGCCUCAUGGUUGGUUGAAAAUUGAGUCCUUGGUAGGGAGCGCCGUGAUAGAUGGUGGUUGAGUGACGAACGAGACCCAAUCAUGUGAGACCCCUACCGAAUUUGGCCUUCAUGACCCACAUGCGUCUUUGGAACGCUCAUGACGAGACCUCAGGUCAGGCGGGGCUACCCGCUGAGUUUAAGCAUAUCAAUAAGCGGAGGA
rnacentral:misc_RNA from 1 species